GACGAACGCUGGCGGCGUGCUUAACACAUGCAAGUCGAACGGUAAGGCUCCAGCUUGCUGGGGUACACGAGUGGCGAACGGGUGAGUAACACGUGGGUGACCUGCCCUGCACUUCGGGAUAAGCCUGGGUAACUGGGUCUAAUACCGGAUAGGACCGCACCGUGAGGGUGUGGUGGAAAGUUUUUUCGGUGUGGGAUGGGCCCGCGGCCUAUCAGCUUGUUGGUGGGGUAAUGGCCUACCAAGGCGGCGACGGGUAGCCGGCCUGAGAGGGUGGACGGCCACAUUGGGACUGAGACACGGCCCAGACUCCUACGGGAGGCAGCAGUGGGGAAUAUUGCACAAUGGGCGGAAGCCUGAUGCAGCGACGCCGCGUGGGGGAUGACGGCCUUCGGGUUGUAAACUCCUUUCACCAUCGACGAAGGGUUUCUGACGGUAGAUGGAGAAGAAGCACCGGCUAACUACGUGCCAGCAGCCGCGGUAAUACGUAGGGUGCGAGCGUUGUCCGGAAUUACUGGGCGUAAAGAGCUCGUAGGUGGUUUGUCGCGUCGUCUGUGAAAUUCCGGGGCUUAACUCCGGGCGUGCAGGCGAUACGGGCAUAACUUGAGUACUGUAGGGGAGACUGGAAUUCCUGGUGUAGCGGUGAAAUGCGCAGAUAUCAGGAGGAACACCGGUGGCGAAGGCGGGUCUCUGGGCAGUAACUGACGCUGAGGAGCGAAAGCAUGGGGAGCGAACAGGAUUAGAUACCCUGGUAGUCCAUGCCGUAAACGGUGGGCGCUAGGUGUGGGUUUCCUUCCACGGGAUCCGUGCCGUAGCUAACGCAUUAAGCGCCCCGCCUGGGGAGUACGGCCGCAAGGCUAAAACUCAAAGGAAUUGACGGGGGCCCGCACAAGCGGCGGAGCAUGUGGAUUAAUUCGAUGCAACGCGAAGAACCUUACCUGGGCUUGACAUAUACAGGAUCGCGCCAGAGAUGGUGUUUCCCUUGUGGCUUGUAUACAGGUGGUGCAUGGUUGUCGUCAGCUCGUGUCGUGAGAUGUUGGGUUAAGUCCCGCAACGAGCGCAACCCUUGUCUUAUGUUGCCAGCACGUUGUGGUGGGGACUCGUAAGAAACUGCCGGGGUUAACUCGGAGGAAGGUGGGGAUGACGUCAAAUCAUCAUGCCCCUUAUGUCCAGGGCUUCACACAUGCUACAAUGGUCGGUACAGUGGGUUGCCAGUCCGUGAGGGCGAGCUAAUCCCGCAAAGCCGGUCUCAGUUCGGAUCGGGGUCUGCAACUCGACCCCGUGAAGUCGGAGUCGCUAGUAAUCGCAGAUCAGCAACGCUGCGGUGAAUACGUUCCCGGGCCU
rnacentral:rRNA from 1 species